rnacentral:rRNA from 1 species
AGUGGAUGGGGAGCAACCUAGUUGUGCGUGUGUAAAGGUAGUGCCAAGAAAAGCGAUGAUCAUGUUGAAAAUCAAUUCCCGGUACCCGAAACCGACACAGGUGGGCAAGUAGAGAAUACUAAGGGGCGCGAGGUAACUCUCUCCAAGGAACUCGGCAAAAUGACCCCGUAACUUAGGGAGAAGGGGUGCCACCGAGAGGUGGUCGCAGUGAAGAGGCCCAGGCGACUGUUUAGCAAAAACAUAGGUCUCUGCAAACUCGAAAGAGGAGGUAUAGGGGCUGACGCCUGCCCAGUGCCGGAAGGUUAAAGAAGUUGGUCAGUUUUAGGAUGAAGCUAGCGACUGAAGCCCCGGUGAACGGCGGCCGUAACUAUAACGGUCCUAAGGUAGCGAAAUUCCUUGUCGGGUAAGUUCCGACCCGCACGAAAGGCGUAACGAUCUGGGCGCUGUCUCGGAGAGAGGCUCGGCGAAAUAGGAUUGUCUGUGAAGAUACGGACUACCUGCAUUUGGACAGAAAGACCCUAUGAAGCUUUACUAUAGCUUGGAAUUGUGUUCGGGCUUCCUGUGCGCAGGAUAGGUGGGAGGCGUAGAAGGUAUUCUUGUGGGGAUACUGGAGCCAACGGUGAGAUACCACUCUCAGGAGGCUAGAAUUCUAACUUAAUUAAGGACAGUUUCAGGUGGGUAGUUUGACUGGGGCGGUCGCCUCCAAAAAGGUAACGGAGGCGUAUAAAGGUUCCCUCAGACUGGUUGGAAAUCAGUCGAAGAGUGCAAAGGCAGAAGGGAGCUUGACUGCGAGAAGUACAGUUCGAGCAGGGUGGAAACACGGUCUUAGUGAUCCGACGGUGCUGUGUGGAAGGGCCGUCGCUCAACGGAUAAAAGUUACUCUAGGAUAACAGGCUGAUCUCCCCCAAGAGUUCACAUCGACGGGGAGGUUUGGCACCUCGAUGUCGGCUCAUCGCAACCUGGGGCGGAAGUACGUCCCAAGGGUUGGGCUGUUCGCCCAUUAAAGCGGUACGUGAGCUGGGUUCAGAACGUCGUGAGACAGUUCGGUCCAUAUCCGAUGUAGGCGUGAGAAUAUUGAGAGGAGCCUUCCUUAGUACGAGAGGACCGGGAAGGACGCACCGCUGGUGUACCUGUUAUGAUGCCAAUUGUAAACGCAGGGUAGCCAAGUGCGGAGAGGAUAACCGCUGAAAGCAUCUAAGUGGGAAGCCCACCUCAAGAUGAGUAUUCUGGUGUAAGGUCACGGGAAGACGACCCGUAAAUAGGCACGAGGUGGAAGUGCAGAGAUGUAUGAAGCCGAAGUGUACUAAUAGACCGUCGGCUUGACC